AGUAAAAAACAUACAAGAAGAAGAUGACGACAUCCGAAAAUAGUCUUUACAUGAGAGUUCUGGUUGUUGAUGAUGAUCCAACAUGGCUCAAGAUCCUUAAAAAGAUGCUCAAGAAAUGCUCUUACCAAGAAUAGUUACAAUUUCUUAUUGCUGCUACGUGUUUAUACAAGUGACUCGUAUUACAAAUAAAACAAGCAUAUCUUAUAUAUCUUACUCUGAAUCCGAUCUCUUGUUUUUCAGUGACUACAUGUUGUUUGGCAACCGAGGCUCUGAAGAAGCUUCAAGAGAGGAAAGAUAUAUGAUUUGGUGUGGAUUAUUUUUUAAUGCAAAUCGGAUGUUCUAACUAUGAUAUAUGAUUUGUUUUUGGUGGAAUUCUUUUAUGCAAGUUGUAUGUUUCCUUUUAAAUUUGUUCUAAUUUUUGUCUUGAUAGGUAGCAACAGUGAUAAUUUUGUGCAUUUUUUUUAUCUUUUGCAAAUUAGUAGUGGAAUUUUUAUGUAAAUUAGUUGAUGAUUAUCAACUUGAGUUUUGCUAGUUGCUUAA